rnacentral:lncRNA from 1 species
GUGCAACUAGUCUAGUGCUGCUCAAUAUCGUCGGGAGUACCAAAAGACUCUCUUAACAUCUUGAGCAUGUCCUCUGACUGAGCCUCUUCAAACUUUUGAUGGAACUCAUCGUUCAUGGAAGCCUGCAUUAUACAACGAACUGUAGUGCGGUUGUUGAGUCACUUCAAAUAAGUAUCUCGAACUAUGCCACAGGUAUUGGAAGCAGACUACUCAGAUGUUGGAUCUAUAAUGACAUACAAAAUCCGCUCGUGCUCCAGGACGAUUUCAAGUUUUCGAUACCAGUUAUAAAAAUUGAGUCCCGUCAACUUCUCACUGUCCAACAA